rnacentral:tmRNA from 1 species
GGGGGCGAUUCAGGUUCGACCGGAUUUCUGAGAUGUCUGGCUGCAUGCCGAGGUUGGUCGGCUGGCCUCGUAAAAAGCCGAUCAAAACAUUAGCUGCCAACAACCACGUUGGUUCCUACAGCCUCGCCGCCUGACCGCGGUUAAGCUGCGUCGUGUCAUGACUUCGCCUGCGGGUCAUGGCCGACGACGACACAGUGGGCUCGCCCGAUCUUAACCGCCUGUUGCGGAUCGGGUUAAACUCAUAAUAGGCUAAGCCGAUGGAAACCUCGUCGUUUGGGGUUCCCAGGCCGACAAUAAAUAGAACGACUACGCAUGUAGACGCCUUCAUCAAUGGAUCUCGGGACGCGGGUGCAAUUCCCGCCGCCUCCAC